UACGUAGGGUGCGAGCGUUGUCCGGAAUUAUUGGGCGUAAAGGGCUCGUAGGCGGUUUGUCACGUCGGGAGUGAAAACUCAGGGCUUAACCCUGAGCCUGCUUUCGAUACGGGCAGACUAGAGGUAUGCAGGGGAGAACGGAAUUCCUGGUGUAGCGGUGAAAUGCGCAGAUAUCAGGAGGAACACCGGUGCGAAGGCGGUUCUCUGGGCAUUACCUGACGCUGAGGAGCGAAACGUGUGGGAGCGAACAGG
rnacentral:rRNA from 1 species